rnacentral:rRNA from 1 species
UACGGGGGGGGUAAGCGUUGUUCGGAAUUACUGGGCGUAAAGGGCUCGUAGGCGGCCAACUAAGUCAGACGUGAAAUCCCUCGGCUUAACCGGGGAACUGCGUCCGAUACUGGAUGGCUUGAGAUCGGGAGAGGGAUGCGGAAUUCCAGGUGUAGCGGUGAAAUGCGUAGAUAUCUGGAGGAACACCGGUGGCGAAGGCGGCAUCCUGGACCGACACUGACACUGAGGAGCGAAAGCCAGGGGAGCAAACGGG